rnacentral:rRNA from 1 species
GACGAACGCUGGCGGCGUGCUUAACACAUGCAAGUCGAACGGUAAGGCCCUUCGGGGUACACGAGUGGCGAACGGGUGAGUAACACGUGGGUGAUCUGCCCUGCACUUCGGGAUAAGACUGGGAAACUGGGUCUAAUACCGGAUAGGACCACUGCCUGCAUGGGUGGUGGUGGAAAGCUUUUGCGGUGUGGGAUGGGCCCGCGGCCUAUCAGCUUGUUGGUGGGGUGAUGGCCUACCAAGGCGACGACGGGUAGCCGGCCUGAGAGGGUGACCGGCCACACUGGGACUGAGACACGGCCCAGACUCCUACGGGAGGCAGCAGUGGGGAAUAUUGCACAAUGGGCGCAAGCCUGAUGCAGCGACGCCGCGCGAGGGAUGACGGCCUUCGGGUUGUAAACCUCUUUUAGUAGGGAAGAAGCGAAAGUGACGGUACCUGCAGAAAAAGCACCGGCUAACUACGUGCCAGCCGCCGCGGUAA